CAGUAUAGUAGGCUAAAUAUUUGUAUUCUUUGUCACACAGGUGACACAGGUAGUGUGUACUCCCGUCGGUGCAAGCCUCAUGCGACCACUUAUAGCAAAAAUCACACUGGACCCAAGGUGGGGGUGACUCCAUCAGUGGGCCAGGUGAUGGUGGGAGGAGCAGCUGAGGUGGCACCUGGGGUGACUCCAGCAAGGGGGGCGGCAUCAGGAGCGGGCGAGAAGAGCCUCUUCUUGGGAGCCCGAGAGGAGCUGCUUCAGAGUUCGGGGUGUCGUAAGUAUAGCAGUUGUCCUGAAAACAUUAAAUUGGACAUUUUAAUGCUAAUUUAAUUACUUUAAAUGUGGUAGGUCUACAUGACUGUAGACAAAGGAAGGCCAGACAAGAUAUGAGAUGCAAGAGUAACUCCAAAUGCCUCUUUCUCCCUCUUCUCUUUGUAAUCUUUCUAGGCCCGGCCUUGGGGUAAGACCGGACGAUGUCCAGGCUGAAUUCGAGAGCAUCUUCCUCAGGCCAGACAGCUUCGUCAGGCCCGGCAGCUAGUCCAGUGGCACCUGGAGAAGCGCUGACCUCGUCACCCGAAGCCUGGGGAGGAGGACGGUCUGGAAUAGGAUCCGGUGAAGUCCUUUUCCUCAAACGCGGAGGGUUUAAAAGGCCAGAUCCCUUGAAUAGAGAACCCGGAGGUGAUGUUCUUCACUGUUGCAGCCUCUGGUGGGACGGGUGAUUGUCCAGCAGGCGGAGCAGCUUCGACUCCUUGGACACGGGUGUGACUGGUGAAGUGGGCCAGGUACAGGAGGAAGUCUGGCUCCUUCCUCCAGCCAGUUGGGUUGGCGGUGCCAGCACAGCCAACGGGUCCACCCCUCAGGAAGUGGUCUUCGAACCGCUUACGGGGGAAGAUAAAGAAUGGCGGAACAAGGUCGCCCUGAGCAUUGCAUGCCAGGGCAACUGUGACCAGGGUCCCCCUCUCCGCUGAGGUCACUGACCCGACCCGACCUGCUUCUGCCCCAUCUGGGCGACGACACGGUCUGGCACCUGGACAGUGGUGACCCCUGUAAAUAGUUUGGUGAGCAUAGUUGUGUAUAUAUAUAUAGUUAUGUGCAUAUAGUUGUUAGCAUUGUUUCUAUUUAGAUAUCUAGUUACGUGUAUAUCGUUUUUUUUCAAAUUUUUAUGGUUGUGAGCAUAGUUUAUUUUUAUAAAUGUAGUUAUGUGUUUAUAGUUGUGUUUUAUAUUAAUAUAGUUCAUAUUAAAUACAGGUUUCAUUAAUGUUCCAAAUAUCCUUGGCCUGGAACUGGUGCCGGUCCAGCACCGUCUUUCAAUUUUGGUAGAACAAGUUGACAUUGUUUUGAUUGAAGCUGGACAACCGUUGUUGGCUAGUGGCCUCUGGACGCCAAAGGGGGAGGCUGCUACUGCGCUCCAUGAAGGAGGUGAUCCAGUCCUUCCUCGACCAGGAUGCAGGGAAUGGGCAGCUGUAAUGCACGGGGUCGUAAAAAGUUGAUGUACAUUUGUGUGUUUAUGUUUAUGUUAUUUCUUCAUAUUUAUUAAUUAAACUAUGUGCAUAGCAUACAUGUGUGCCUGUCCAAAAAUGUAUGUAGCCCUUUUCUCAUAACUGACCUCAUUAGGGGUGAGCCCAAAAUAAAUGGCUUCACUGCUCUCCUCUGCCCUCCCCUUGAGGUAGCGUGACAACGCGACAUGAUGUUGUCGCGUUGCAGGAACCAGCCCACGGGAGGUGGUUCUCCUUCUGACGUGUGGCAUUUUUCUCUCAGUAAACUCUUGAUGCAUGUG